rnacentral:rRNA from 1 species
CCUACGAGGAGCAGCAGUGGGGAAUAUUGGACAAUGGGCGAAAGCCUGAUCCAGCCAUGCCGCGUGUGUGAAGAAGGCCUUCGGGUUGUAAAGCACUUUCAGUGGGGAAGAAAGCCUUGGGGCUAAUACCCUCGAGGAAGGACAUCACCCACAGAAGAAGCCCCGGCUAACUCCGUGCCAGCAGCCGCGGUAAUACGGAGGGUGCGAGCGUUAAUCGGAAUUACUGGGCGUAAAGCGCGCGUAGGCGGUCUGAUAAGCCGGUUGUGAAAGCCCCGGGCUCAACCUGGGAACGGCAUCCGGAACUGUCAGGCUAGAGUGCAGGAGAGGAAGGUAGAAUUCCCGGUGUAGCGGUGAAAUGCGUAGAGAUCGGGAGGAAUACCAGUGGCGAAGGCGGCCUUCUGGACUGACACUGACGCUGAGGUGCGAAAGCGUGGGUAGCAAACAGGAUUAGAUACCCGUGUAGUC